AUGGUCAUCUCCAUGGAUGCUGAAAUGGCCUUUGAUUGGGUGGAGUGGCCUUACCUGUUUUGUGAUGUCCGUCCCAGGCUGACAGUGCUGUCCCCCUCCAUGCAUGAGGGGAAGGCCACACUCCUGUGUCUGGCCAACAAUGGCUUCCCUUCAGGCUGGACUCUGUCCUGGAAGGUGGGCGGCAGCAGCAGCAUCAGCAGCAGCUGGGAGGAGAGCAGGAGCCGGGUGCUGCAGAAGGACGGCCUCUACAGCUGGAGCAGCACCCUGAGGCUCCCUGCAGACCAGUGGGAGAAGCUGGACUCUGUGACCUGUGAGGCCACCAAGGACUCCCAGACUCCAGUCAUAGAGACUCUGUGGAGAAACCAGUGUUCCUAG